rnacentral:rRNA from 1 species
CCUACGGGAGGCAGCAGUGGGGAAUAUUGCGCAAUGGCCGAAAGGCUGACGCAGCGACGCCGCGUGGGGGAUGAAGCAUUUCGGUGUGUAAACCCCCUGUUGCUCGGGACGAACAACUGGAUUUGUCCAGUCUGACGGUACCGGGUGAGGAAGCACCGGCUAACUCCGUGCCAGCAGCCGCGGUAAUACGGAGGGUGCGAGCGUUGUCCGGAAUCACUGGGCGUAAAGGGCGCGUAGGCGGUCUGCUAAGCGUGUGGUGAAAGCUCGGGGCUCAACCCCCGAGUCUGCCAUGCGAACCUGGUGGACUAGAGCACUGUAGAGGCAGGUGGAAUUCCGGGUGUAGCGGUGGAAUGCGUAGAGAUCCGGAAGAACACCGGUGGCGAAGGCGGCCUGCUGGGCAGUAGCUGACGCUGAGGCGCGACAGCGUGGGGAGCAAACAGGAUUAGAUACCCUGGUAGUCCACGCCGUAAACGAUGGGGACUAGGUAGCUUGGGGGUAGCGACCCCGUCGAGUGCGGCGCGACGCAUAAUACCCCGCCCGUCGGGACGGUACGGACCGGCGAACGCGUAGAACGUUAAAGGAAACGUUAGAACGGCGUCGAGGACGUGCCGAAGGACGACGACACGGGAGGUUAGG